GUCACUAUGUCCUGCCUGACCAAAGAGGACACGGGCUGGUACUGGUGUGGCAUCCAGCGGGACUUUGCCAGGGAUGACAUGGAUUUUACAGAGCUGAUUGUAACUGACGACAAAGGAACCCUGGCCAAUGACUUUUGGUCUGGGAAAGACCUAUCAGGCAACAAAACCAGAAGCUGCAAGGCUCCCAAAGUUGUCCGCAAGGCUGACCGCUCCAGGACGUCCAUUCUCAUCAUUUGCAUACUGAUCACGGGUUUGGGAAUCAUCUCUGUAAUCAGUCAUUUGACCAAAAGGAGGAGAAGUCAAAGGAAUAGAAGGGGUAAGUAGCUAUUGUUGAGGGAGGGGGUGGGCAAGAAUUAGAGAAAAUGAAAGAGGUCAAGGAGCAGAUUUCAAAUGAGUGAAUGAGAGCCUCUUCAUAUUGCCUGGUCACCUGGAGACCAAUGCAGCCAGCCAUGGGCUGGGGUAGAUAUCUGCUUGAUGGUGACAAGGCAUCACGAGAAGUGACAGAGGGAGCACUGGAGCUUUCUUAAGUGGAUACAUGUGUAGGUCAGGAAGGAAGGAGGUCCUGAGACAACCACACCAGGUUCCCAUCUGCAGAGCCACCUACCUCCCCAGCACACAAACUUCGGGCUCCUGUCGAAGGAAUGAGCUUCUGGGACCGCUGGGUAAGCAGGUAUAGAAGAGUCUCCUUUUUCAUAUACACAGGAUGUUGCCCUGUUGCCCAGGCUUGAGUGCCGAAGUAUG
rnacentral:lncRNA from 1 species